GAUGAACGCUGGCGGCGUGCUUAACACAUGCAAGUCGAACGAAGCAUUUAAGACAGAUUACUUCGGUUUGAGGUCUUUUAUGACUGAGUGGCGGACGGGUGAGUAACGCGUGGGUAACCUGCCUCAUACAGGGGGAUAGCAGCUGGAAACGGCUGGUAAUACCGCAUAAGCGCACAGUACCACAUGGUACAGUGUGAAAAUCUCCGGUGGUAUGAGAUGGACCCGCGUCUGAUUAGCUUGUUGGCGGGGUAACGGCCCACCAAGGCGACGAUCAGUAGCCGACCUGAGAGGGUGACCGGCCACAUUGGGACUGAGACACGGCCCAGACUCCUACGGGAGGCAGCAGUGGGGAAUAUUGCACAAUGGAGGAAACUCUGAUGCAGCGACGCCGCGUGAGUGAAGAAGUAGUUCGCUAUGUAAAGCUCUAUCAGCAGGGAAGAUAGUGACGGUACCUGACUAAGAAGCUCCGGCUAAAUACGUG
rnacentral:rRNA from 1 species